rnacentral:rRNA from 1 species
GCAUCGAUGAAGAACGCAGCGAAAUGCGAUACGUAAUGUGAAUUGCAGAAUUCAGUGAAUCAUCGAAUCUUUGAACGCAUAUUGCGCUCUUUGGUAUUCCGAAGAGCAUGCUUGUUUGAGUAUCAGUAAACACCUCAAAGCUUUUGGAUUUUUUAAUCGAAAAGCUUUGGACUUGAGCAAUCCCAACACCAAUCUUUUUGAGAUCGGUGGCGGGUUGCUUGAAAUGCAGGUGCAGCUGGACAUUCUCCUGAGCUAAAAGCAUAUUCAUUUAGUCCCGUCAAACGGAUUAUUACUUUUGCUGCAGCUAACAUAAAGGGAGUUUGACCAUAUUGGCUGACUGAUGCAGGAUUUCACAAGGGUCGGCAACGAUUCUUGUUAAACUCGAUCUCAAAUCAAGUAAGACUACCCGCUGAACUUAAGCAUAUCAAUAAGCGGGAGGAA